rnacentral:rRNA from 1 species
CCUACGGGUGGCAGCAGUCGAGAAUCAUUCACAAUGGGGGAAACCCUGAUGGUGCGACGCCGCGUGGGGGAAUGAAGGUCUUCGGAUUGUAAACCCCUGUCAUGUGGGAGCAAAUUAAAAAGAUAGUACCACAAGAGGAAGAGACGGCUAACUCUGUGCCAGCAGCCGCGGUAAUACAGAGGGCUCAAGCGUUGUUCGGAAUCACUGGGCGUAAGGCGUGCGUAGGCUGUUUCGUAAGUCGUGUGUGAAAGGCGCGGGCUCAACCCGCGGACGGCACAUGAUACUGCGAGACUAGAGUAAUGGAGGGGGAACCGGAAUUCUCGGUGUAGCAGUGAAAUGCGUAGAUAUCGAGAGGAACACUCGUGGCGAAGGCGGGUUCCUGGACAUUAACUGACGCUGAGGCACGAAGGCCAGGGGAGCGAAAGGGAUUAGAUACCCGAGUAGUC